UGGAAGGUAGCUCAACUGGUCGGGCAACAGCUUUUGGUGCCGCAGGUUGCAGGUUCGAACCCUGCCCUUGCAG
rnacentral:tRNA from 1 species